ensembl:snRNA U6 U6 spliceosomal RNA
AUGCUCACUUCAGGAGUACAUAUACUAUAAUAUGAAUGAUACAGAGAUGAUUAAAAUGGCCCACUGCAAGGAUGUAACAUGCAAAUUUGCGGUGUGCAAUUUUUUA